GUUAAGCGACUAAGCGUACACGGUGGAUGCCCUGGCAGUCAGAGGCGAUGAAGGACGUGCUAAUCUGCGAUAAGCGUCGGUAAGGUGAUAUGAACCGUUAUAACCGGCGAUUUCCGAAUGGGGAAACCCAGUGUGUUUCGACACACUAUCAUUAACUGAAUCCAUAGGUUAAUGAGGCGAACCGGGGGAACUGAAACAUCUAAGUACCCCGAGGAAAAGAAAUCAACCGAGAUUCCCCCAGUAGCGGCGAGCGAACGGGGAGCAGCCCAGAGCCUGAAUCAGUGUGUGUGUUAGUGGAAGCGUCUGGAAAGGCGCGCGAUACAGGGUGACAGCCCCGUACACAAAAAUGCACAUGCUGUGAGCUCGAUGAGUAGGGCGGGACACGUGGUAUCCUGUCUGAAUAUGGGGGGACCAUCCUCCAAGGCUAAAUACUCCUGACUGACCGAUAGUGAACCAGUACCGUGAGGGAAAGGCGAAAAGAACCCCGGCGAGGGGAGUGAAAAAGAACCUGAAACCGUGUACGUACAAGCAGUGGGAGCACGCUUAGGCGUGUGACUGCGUACCUUUUGUAUAAUGGGUCAGCGACUUAUAUUCUGUAGCAAGGUUAACCGAAUAGGGGAGCCGAAGGGAAACCGAGUCUUAACUGGGCGUUAAGUUGCAGGGUAUAGACCCGAAACCCGGUGAUCUAGCCAUGGGCAGGUUGAAGGUUGGGUAACACUAACUGGAGGACCGAACCGACUAAUGUUGAAAAAUUAGCGGAUGACUUGUGGCUGGGGGUGAAAGGCCAAUCAAACCGGGAGAUAGCUGGUUCUCCCCGAAAGCUAUUUAGGUAGCGCCUCGUGAAUUCAUCUCCGGGGGUAGAGCACUGUUUCGGCAAGGGGGUCAUCCCGACUUACCAACCCGAUGCAAACUGCGAAUACCGGAGAAUGUUAUCACGGGAGACACACGGCGGGUGCUAACGUCCGUCGUGAAGAGGGAAACAACCCAGACCGCCAGCUAAGGUCCCAAAGUCAUGGUUAAGUGGGAAACGAUGUGGGAAGGCCCAGACAGCCAGGAUGUUGGCUUAGAAGCAGCCAUCAUUUAAAGAAAGCGUAAUAGCUCACUGGUCGAGUCGGCCUGCGCGGAAGAUGUAACGGGGCUAAACCAUGCACCGAAGCUGCGGCAGCGACGCUUAUGCGUUGUUGGGUAGGGGAGCGUUCUGUAAGCCUGUGAAGGUGUGCUGUGAGGCAUGCUGGAGGUAUCAGAAGUGCGAAUGCUGACAUAAGUAACGAUAAAGCGGGUGAAAAGCCCGCUCGCCGGAAGACCAAGGGUUCCUGUCCAACGUUAAUCGGGGCAGGGUGAGUCGACCCCUAAGGCGAGGCCGAAAGGCGUAGUCGAUGGGAAACAGGUUAAUAUUCCUGUACUUGGUGUUACUGCGAAGGGGGGACGGAGAAGGCUAUGUUGGCCGGGCGACGGUUGUCCCGGUUUAAGCGUGUAGGCUGGUUUUCCAGGCAAAUCCGGAAAAUCAAGGCUGAGGCGUGAUGACGAGGCACUACGGUGCUGAAGCAACAAAUGCCCUGCUUCCAGGAAAAGCCUCUAAGCAUCAGGUAACAUCAAAUCGUACCCCAAACCGACACAGGUGGUCAGGUAGAGAAUACCAAGGCGCUUGAGAGAACUCGGGUGAAGGAACUAGGCAAAAUGGUGCCGUAACUUCGGGAGAAGGCACGCUGAUAUGUAGGUGAAGUCCCUCGCGGAUGGAGCUGAAAUCAGUCGAAGAUACCAGCUGGCUGCAACUGUUUAUUAAAAACACAGCACUGUGCAAACACGAAAGUGGACGUAUACGGUGUGACGCCUGCCCGG
rnacentral:rRNA from 1 species